rnacentral:rRNA from 1 species
GCUAGCGUUGCUCGGAAUCACUGGGCGUAAAGCGCACGUAGGCGGAUUGUUAAGUCAGGGGUGAAAUCCUGGAGCUCAACUCCAGAACUGCCUUUGAUACUGGCGAUCUCGAGUUCGGGAGAGGUGAGUGGAACUGCGAGUGUAGAGGUGAAAUUCGUAGAUAUUCGCAAGAACACCAGUGGCGAAGGCGGCUCACUGGCCCGAUACUGACGCUGAGGUGCGAAAGCGUGGGGAGCAAACAGG